GGUAGCGCGGCCGAGUGGUCUAUGGCGCUGGUUUUAGGUGCCAGUUAUUUCGAUGACGUGGGUUCGAAUCCCUCCUCUGCCA
rnacentral:tRNA from 1 species